rnacentral:rRNA from 1 species
CGCGCAGGCGGCCUGUCAAGUCUGUCUUAAAAGUGCGGGGCUCAACCCCGUGAUGGGACGGAAACUGGCAGGCUGGAGUGUCGGAGAGGAAAGCAGAAUUCCUAGUGUAGCGGUGAAAUGCGUAGAUAUUAGGAGGAAUACCAGUGGCGAAAGCGGCUUUCUGGACGACAACUGACGCUGAGGCGCGAAAGCCAGGGGAGCAAAC